GUCCACUGAAAGAGAGGUAUAUAUAAUCUGACAUGGCUUUAUACAACUGGUCCACUGAAAGAGAGGUAUAUAUAAUCUGACAUGGCUUUAUACAACUGGUCCACUGAAAGAGAGGUAUAUAUAAUCUGACAUGGCUUUAUACAACUGGUCCACUGAAAGAGAGGUAUAUAUAAUCUGACAUGGCUUUAUACAACUGGUCCACUGAAAGAGAGGUAUAUAUAAUCUGACAUGGCUUUAUACAACUGGUCCACUGAAAGAGAGGUAUAUAUAAUCUGACAUGGCUUUAUACAACUGGUCCACUGAAAGAGAGGUAUAUAUAUAAUCUGGCAUGGCUUUAUACAACUGGUCCACUGAAAGAGAGGUAUAUAUAAUCUGGCAUGGCUUUAUACAACUGGUCCACUG